UCUGCCCUGCACUUCGGGAUNAGCCUGGGAAACUGGGUCUAAUACCGGAUAGGACCACGGGAUUCAUGUCCUGUGGUGGAAAGCUUUUGCGGUGUGGGAUGAGCCCGCGGCCUAUCAGCUUGUUGGUGGGGUAACGGCCUACCAAGGCGACGACGGGUAGCCGGCCUGAGAGGGUGUCCGGCCACACUGGGACUGAGACACGGCCCAGACUCCGACGGGAAGCAGCAGUGGGGAAUAUUGCACAAUCGGCGCAAGCCUGAGGCAACGACGCAGCGUGGGGGAUGACGGCCUUCGGGUUGUAAACCUCGUUUCACCAUCCACGAAGGUACGGGUUUUCUAGGAUUGACGGUAGGUGAAGAAAAAGCACAGACCAACUACGUGCCAGCACCCGCGGUAAUACGUAGGGUGCGAGCGUUGUCCGCAAUUACUGGGCGUAAAGAGAUCGUAGGUGGUUUGUCGCGUUGUUCAUGAAAUCUCACGGCUUAACUGUGAGCGUGCGGAUGAUACGGGCAGACUACAGUACUGCAGGGGAAACUGGAAUUCCUGGUGUAACGGUGGAAUGCGCAAAUAUCAGGAGGAACACCGGUGGCGAAGCCCNGUUUCUGGACAGUAACUUACNGUCAGNAGUAAAAGUGUGGGGAGCGUACAAGAUUAAAUACCCUGGUAGUCCAUGCCGUAAACGGUGGGUACUAGGUGUGGGUUUCCUUCCUUGGGAUCCGUGCCGUAGCUAACGCAUUAAGUACNCCGCCUGGGGAGUACGGCCGCAAGGCUAAAACUCAAAGGAAUUGACGGGGGCCCGCACAAGCGGCGGAGCAUGUGGAUUAAUUCGAUGCAACGCGAAGGGGCCUUACCUGGGUUUGACAUGCACAGGNCGCGUCUAAAACAUAGGCGUUCCCUUGUGGCCUGUGUGCACCUGGUGCAUGACUGUNGUCAGCUCGUGUCGUGAGAUGAUGGGUUAAGUCCCCCAACGAGCGCAACCCUNGUNUCAUGUUGCCAGCACGUAAUGGUGGGGACUCNUAAAAAACUGCCGGGGUCAACUCGGAGAAANGGGGGGAUAACCUCAAGUCAUCAUNCCCCCUAUGUACAGGGCUUCACACAUGCUACAAUGGCCGGGUACAAAGGCAUCAAAUCCCCCAAGGUUAAAAAAACCCUUUAAAACCCGGGCAAAACAGAGGACCAGGGGGAACCCAACCCCACCAAAACCAAAAGCACUAAAAAGCCACAUCAAAAAAACAAACGGCAAAAAAAUACCCGGCCCGGCACACAACCCCCCGCAAAAGAAAGAAAAAAAGGAAAAAACCAAACAAACCACCGAAACAACCCGAAAGGAACCAGCCAACAAAGGAGAACACACAAGGACAAAAAAGCCACAAAAAGAACCCAAACAGACUCAGCGCUUGGAGCACCGCCUUAAUAAAAAGCCGAAGGGAUUCC
rnacentral:rRNA from 1 species